GACGAACGCUGGCGGCGUGCCUAAUACAUGCAAGUAGAACGCUGAAGGAGGAGCUUGCUUCUCUGGAUGAGUUGCGAACGGGUGAGUAACGCGUAGGUAACCUGCCUGGUAGCGGGGGAUAACUAUUGGAAACGAUAGCUAAUACCGCAUAAGAGUAGAUGUUGCAUGACAUUUGCUUAAAAGGUGCAAUUGCAUCACUACCAGAUGGACCUGCGUUGUAUUAGCUAGUUGGUGGGGUAACGGCUCACCAAGGCGACGACACAUAGCCGACCUGAGAGGGUGAUCGGCCACACUGGGACUGAGACACGGCCCAGACUCCUACGGGAGGCAGCAGUAGGGAAUCUUCGGCAAUGGACGGAAGUCUGACCGAGCAACGCCGCGUGAGUGAAGAAGGUUUUCGGAUCGUAAAGCUCUGUUGUAAGAGAAGAACGAGUGUGAGAGUGGAAAGUUCACACUGUGACGGUAUCUUACCAGAAAGGGACGGCUAACUACGUG
rnacentral:rRNA from 1 species